rnacentral:lncRNA from 1 species
AAAAAAAGAACAGAAAAAAAGCCCAAAAAUAGCUUCCAUACACAGUCCACCCCAGUGUAAAAAUGCAGAAGUUCAGAGGGAGCUUUAUCACUUCCUGAGAAAGAACAGAUGCAGUUUGGUUUCAUUUACAUGAACUGUAGAGGCUCCUUGUGUUAGCCAGGCUGCUUUAUUUCCUUUUUAUUCCCUUCUUUCUCUUAAAUAUUGGUUUCUGCUUAGGCGAAGGAUCAAGUUGAAGCAUUUCACUCUGCUUGUGAGGAAGCCGCAUCCUUGAAAUGCAAGUUAGAGGAAGCCAUUUCUGAGCAGCAGAAACUCAAGGAUGUGAAUGAAGCUUUAACAAGCACUUGCCAGUUGCUUCAAGAAAAGGUGGAAUACCAGAAAACAACCACUAAUGCGCUGAGAUGGGAACUGCUUCAAAGGAGACUCUGUGAAUUGCUAUGUCAGUGCUGUGCAGAGCUAGAUUCUGACUACAGUGUGCUGCCCUCAUCAACUGAGCUGGUAAAAGAUAAGCAGCUCCAUUGCUCUAAGCGACGGUGGAGUGAAGGAGACACCUUGGGCACUGAACUUCCCCGGGUACUGCCCUCAGAUGUUUCAUACUGGCAUAGUACACUUCUGCUAGAUGCUCUGAACUUGGAAACCUCAUGUGCAAAUAACCCUCCUGAUCACGGCUGGGAUAGGCCUUGUAGACAGAACACUGACAGCUGUGUGUUCGAAAGCUGCCAUCCGGGACACGGGUCCACUUCAGAUGUGACAUCAGUGGGGUACAGGUGGAAAAUAUGCUCUGCUGGUAACUGUACUGAUGCAG